rnacentral:rRNA from 1 species
AUACGUAGGUGGCGAGCGUUAUCCGGAUUUACUGGGGUGUAAAGGGCGUGUAGGCGGGUCUGCAAGUCGGAUGUGAAAUUCCCGGGCUUAACUCGGGCGGGUCAUCCGAAACUGCAGAUCUUGAGUACUGGAGAGGAUAGUGGAAUUCACGGUGUAGCAGUGAAAUGCGUAGAUAUCGUGAGGAACACCAAUGGCGAAGGCAGCUACCUGGACAGUAACUGACACUGAGGCAUGAAAGCGUGGGUAGC